rnacentral:rRNA from 1 species
ACGGCGAUAAGGGGACCUCGAGUGCCAGGUUACAAAUCUGGCUGUCGUGAUGCCUAAAAAGCAUUGCAUAGCAAGGGCCGGGCAAGACCGGUGCCAGCCGCCGCGGUAACACCGGCGGCUCGAGUGGUAACCGUUAUUAUUGGGUCUAAAGGGUCUGUAGCCGGCCGGAUAAGUCUCUUGAGAAAUCCAGCAGCUCAACUGUUGGGCUUUCGGGAGAUACUGUUCGGCUCGAGGCCGGGAGAGGUGAGAGGUACUUCAGGGGUAGGGGUGAAAUCUUGUAAUCCUUGAAGGACCACCAGUGGCGAAGGCGUCUCACCAGAACGGACCUGACGGCAAGGGACGAAAGCUAGGGGCACGAACCGGAUUAGAUACCCGGGUAGUCCUAGCCGUAAACGAUACUCGCUAGGUGUCGGCCACGGUGCGACCGUUGUCGGUGCCGUAGGGAAGCCGUGAAGCGAGC